AUGCAAUGCGCACAGAUUCUAGAUCUGAUCAUAUUAAAAAAAAUUAUAUAUAAAUAAUAAAAUAAUAUUCAUUCAAAUUUUUAAUAUUAUUUUAUAUUUUCAACUAUCUAUAUAAAUAUAUUUUAAUUAUAAAAGUAUAAUAAUAUCAUAUAUUAAUAAUAUAAUUUAAUUUAUAUAAAUAAAAUUUAAUGUAAUUUUUUAUUAAUUCAAGAUUUGAAUUUAAUACUUAAAAGAUU
rnacentral:lncRNA from 1 species